ensembl:snRNA U6 U6 spliceosomal RNA
GUGUUCAUUUUGGUAACACAUAUAAUAAAAUGGGAGCAAUAUAGAGAAGAGUAGUGUGGCCCCUGCAUAAGGACCACAUCUAAUCAUGAAGUAUCCAAAUUCAUG